rnacentral:rRNA from 1 species
CACGUAUGGGGCGAGCGUUGUUCGGAAUUAUUGGGCGUAAAGGGCGCGUAGGCUGUUCUACAAGCCUGGUGUGAAAGGCUGCGGCUUAACCGCAGUUAUGCGCUGGGAACUGUAGGGCUAGAAUCCUAGAGGGGAAGCUGGAAUUCCUGGUGUAGGGGUGAAAUCUGUAGAUAUCAGGAAGAACACCGGUGGCGAAGGCGAGCUUCUGGCUAGUGAUUGACGCUGAGGCGCGAAAGCGUGGGGAG